rnacentral:rRNA from 2 species
AACGAUGAAGUGGAGCUUGCUCCACGGAUUAGUGGCGAACGGGUGAGGAACACGUGAGAAACCUGCCUCGGAUUUUGGGAUAACAAAUGGAAACGUUUGCUAAUACCAAAUAACGUCGGAGAGUCACAUGACUUUCUGACGAAAGGAAUUCCGAUUCGAGAGGGUCUCGCGGCCUAUCAGCUUGUUGGCGGGGUAAUGGCCCACCAAGGCAACGACGGGUAGCUGGUCUGAGAGGAUGGUCAGCCACACUGGGACUGAGACACGGCCCAGACUCC